GAUGAACGCUGGCGGCGUGCCUAACACAUGCAAGUCGAGCGAUUUACUUCGGUAAAGAGCGGCGGACGGGUGAGUAACGCGUGGGUAACCUGCCCUGUACACACGGAUAACAUACCGAAAGGUAUGCUAAUACGGGAUAAUAUGUUUUGAUCGCAUGAUCGAAAUAUCAGAGCUCCGGCGGUACAGGAUGGACCCGCGUCUGAUUAGCUAGUUGGUAAGGUAACGGCUUACCAAGGCGACGAUCAGUAGCCGACCUGAGAGGGUGAUCGGCCACAUUGGAACUGAGACACGGUCCAAACUCCUACGGGAGGCAGCAGUGGGGAAUAUUGCACAAUGGGCGAAAGCCUGAUGCAGCAACGCCGCGUGAGCGAUGAAGGCCUUCGGGUCGUAAAGCUCUGUCCUCAAGGAAGAUAAUGACGGUACUUGAGGAGGAAGCCCCGGCUAACUACGUGCCAGCAGCCGCGGUAA
rnacentral:rRNA from 1 species